ACGGCCCGUCUCAAUAAGUCCUCCAAUCUGCAGGCUCUUAACACGAGAGAAAAGUAAACAGGGCAGGAGGACGUCUCUUCCUAUCCCGUAGCGGACAGAUAGGAAGCAAACAGUAUCUGAUGGAAGUGACCUCAUGAGAAGUGGGCGGAGCAAGUUUCUGAACAGGCAUGAUUGAUAUCUUAUGCAAGCGAGGGACGCCACAUCUUCAGAAAUGGUCUAGGAUGAACUCACUCAUGCAGCGAUUGACAUCUUUCCCUCGAAGACCGAAGUGUCCAGUGGGACAGGAGUGGACGCAGAAGCCGUGGUGACUCAUGCCGUCUCUGUUGAGAUACAGGAAGAG